rnacentral:rRNA from 1 species
CACGAAGUUAGCCGGUGCUUAUUCUUUGGGUACCGUCAGAACAACCGGGUAUUAGCCGACUGCUUUUCUUUCCCAACAAAAGGGCUUUACAACCCGAAGGCCUUCUUCACCCACGCGGUAUGGCUGGAUCAGGCUUGCGCCCAUUGUCCAAUAUUCCCCACUGCUGCCUCCCGUAGGAGUCUGGACCGUGUCUCAGUUCCAGUGUGGCUGAUCAUCCUCUCAGACCAGCUACGGAUCGUCGCCUUGGUGGGCCUUUACCCCGCCAACUAGCUAAUCCGACAUCGGCUCAUCUAUCCGCGCAAGGCCCGAAGGUCCCCUGCUUUCACCCGAAGGUCGUAUGCGGUAUUAGCGUAAGUUUCCCUACGUUAUCCCCCACGAAAAGGUAGAUUCCGAUGUAUUCCUCACCCGUCCGCCACUCGCCACCCAUAAGAGCAAGCUCUUACUGUGCUGCCGUUCGACUUGCAUGUGUUAGGCCUACCGCCAGCGUUCACUCUGAGCCAGGAUCAAACUCU